AUGUUAUGAUGAGGGCACUUUCAUAGUAAAUCAUUAAACCGCUCCCAUGCUUCAUAUAAUGAGUCUUCAUCAAAUUGCUAAAGUGAAGUGACUUAUUUCAGAGCUU
rnacentral:snoRNA from 1 species